CCUUUUCUUCUUCCUUAACCUCCAUGCCCCAUGAUCUGAUGAGAUGAGAUCUAGAGAGAGAGAAAGAGAGAGAGAGGAAGAGAAGAAGAAAGGUUCAUCUUCCUUUCUUGGUGAUCUGAUUCAAAUCCUGUUGGAUCUGCAUGAAGGAGUUCGCGCAGUAUUCAUCUUCUUUGAGAUCUAGAAGAAGAGAUUCAGAUCCAAGACUGAGGAGCGAGAUCUAUAAGGUGCUAGCACACUGGUUAUCUCGAUGCUCUGAUCAGGCAUCUUC
rnacentral:lncRNA from 1 species